AGGAGUGUAGCUCAGCUGGUAGAGCGGCGGUCUCCAAAACCGUAGGUCGCGGGUUCGAUCCCUGCCACUCCUGCCA
rnacentral:tRNA from 1 species